UGUGGUCCCCAGGUGUCUUUGGAGCUGGUGAAGGUGGUGGGAGGAUAUUGGUUUGAGUCGUCAGUGAGUGGUUGUGCUGUGGUCCCCAGGUGUCGUUGGAGCUGGUGAAGGUGGUGGGAGGAUAUUGGUUUGAGUCGUCAGUGAGUGGUUGUGCUGUGGUCCCCAGGUGUCGUUGGAGCUGGUGAAGGUGGUGGGAGGAUAUUGGUUUGAGUCGUCAGUGAGUGGUUGUGCUGUGGUCCCCAGGUGUCGUUGGAGCUGGUGAAGGUGGUGGGAGGAUAUUGGUUUGAGUCGUCAGUGAGUGGUUGUGCUGUGGUCCCCAGGUGUCGUUGGAGCUGGUGAAGGUGGUGGGAGGAUAUUGGUUUGAGUCGUCAGUGAGUGGUUGUGCUGUGGUCCCCAGGUGUCGUUGGAGCUGGUGAAGGUGGUGGGAGGAUAUUGGUUUGAGUCGUCAGUGAGUGGUUGUGCUGUGGUCCCCAGGUGUCGUUGGAGCUGGUGAAGGUGGUGGGAGGAUAUUGGUUUGAGUCGUCAGUGAGUGGUUGUGCUGUGGUCCCCAGGUGU